AUUAGAUCAUCAAACUGAAAUCAAACACUUGCCACAUCAAAAGCUUUCAUUGUACAACCGUCAGUUUUACCCAGAAGCCCUUUAGAUCUCCCCCCCCCGCCGCCACUACAAACAGCAUUUACAACUCUGUUUGAGCGGGAGCAAACCGAAGUCCACAGUUUCCCAAACAUGUGCAGCCUCAGCAUGAGCAGAGUCGCUGUGUUUUGUUGAGUAAAGACUGCUCAUAGUAACUGUGUCUCGAUACUGAACCAAAUGAAACCAGGGCGAGUUUCACAAACAGGAAGAAUGACUUUUCGAAUGCACCUCUCAGUCUGAUAUUGCAAACUCGAGAUGGCUCAAGUGCAGCUUCAAGCUCUAAAGUUACAACAACUACUGAGAGAUGAGAUGUGAAAGAUGAGAUGUGAGAGAUGUGAGAGAUGAGAGAUGUGAGAGAUGAGAUGUGAGAGAUGAGAUGUGGGAGAUAUGAGAGAUGUGAAAGAUGAGAUGUGAGAGAUGAGAUAGAUGAGAUGUGAGAGAUGAGAGAGAUGCGAGAGAUGUGAUGUGAGAGAUGAGAGAGAUCUGAGAGAUGAGAUGUGAGAGAUGAGAGAGAUGAGAGAGAUAUGAGAGAUGUGAGAGAUGAGAUGUGAGAGAUGAGAGAGAUGAGAUGUGAGAGAUGAGAGAGAUGUGAGAGAUGAUAUGAGAUGUGAGAGAUGUGAGAGAUGAGAGAGAUGUGAGAGAUGAGAUGUGAGAGAUGUGAUGUCUGAGAACUCACAAACUAGAAGGUUGUUGUAUCUCUUUUUAUAUCAUUAAAGAUGGAUUAUUAUGAUCCAAACACAGGCUUAAUUAGACUGCACAGAUUUCCUGUUUACAGUAACAGGUUCUGACAGCAGGUUGACAGGAUGGGGGCUUUCCCAGCUGAAAGUGCCUUUUACUCAUGAGUUUCGGCGUCAUUACUCCAUCUCUGGUAAUUCACGGUACAUGUGUUAACCGUGUUAGGGGACGGCGGGGUACAGGGCAGCGUGGGUCUGCUUCUGAGGGACCAGAAGGUUUUCCUCGGGGGGGUUGUUCUGUCUUGGAGGAGUGCUAAAAAAAAAAAAAGUUUGUUUUAACUAAGACAUUCCGGGUCAUUGUUUUCCCACAGAGCGCGCCGGAAUCUGUCAGGAAAAAACAAUCACCCCUCUAAAACCAAAAAAAAGAAGAGUAUUGCACGUUGAUUCAUUCUGCAUUGCAGCUAUUCUAGUGGCAUGAUUUAGAAUAGCUCCUAAUAAAGUGGCAGUAACAGACUGUCUGAUGUGAGCUGUAACUGUUUGCAUUGGAAAGAAGACACCGCUAAAUAUGAGAUGUUUGUUUUGGAGAUCACAGCUUCCUGGGUCCUUCAGCAGAGUAAACAUCACACUCGCUCUGCUCUCUCACUCCGUGCUUUGAUGUGACUUUUUCUCUAAAUUGUA
ensembl:lncRNA